UACGUAGGGUGCAAGCGUUGUCCGGAAUUAUUGGGCGUAAAGAGCUUGUAGGCGGUUUGUCGCGUCUGCUGUGAAAUUUCGGGGCUCAACCCCGAACUUGCAGUGGGUACGGGCAGACUAGAGUGUGGUAGGGGAGACUGGAAUUCCUGGUGUAGCGGUGAAAUGCGCAGAUAUCAGGAGGAACACCGAUGGCGAAGGCAGGUCUCUGGGCCGAUACUGACGCUGAGGAGCGAAAGCGUGGGGAGCGAACAGG
rnacentral:rRNA from 1 species